CCAAGGAGUCUAGCAUGUGCGCGAGUCAUUGGGACUCUAACGAAACCUAAAGGCGCAAUGAAAGUGAAGGUUCGCCACGCGCGAACCGAGGGAGGAUGGACGGUCGUACGUGGCCGUCCCGCACUCCCUGGGCGUCUCGUUCUCAUCGCGAGAAGAGGCGCACCAAGAGCGUACACGCUGGGACCCGAAAGAUGGUGAACUAUGCCUGGUCAGGACGAAGUCAGGGGAAACCCUGAUGGAGGUCCGUAGCGAUUCUGACGUGCAAAUCGAUCGUCGGAACUGGGUAUAGGGGCGAAAGACUAAUCGAACCAUCUAGUAGCUGGUUCCCUCCGAAGUUUCCCUCAGGAUAGCUGGCGCUCGCUUCUCGCGAGUCUCAUUCGGUAAAGCGAAUGAUUAGAGGCAUUGGGGUCGAAACGGCCUCAACCUAUUCUCAAACUUUAAAUGGGUGAGAUCUCCGGCUUGCUUGAACUGUGAAGCCGCGAGAUAUCGGAUCAGAGUGCCAAGUGGGCCACUUUUGGUAAGCAGAACUGGCGCUGUGGGAUGAACCAAACGCCGAGUUAAAGCGCCUAAAUCGACGCUUAUGGGAUACCAUGAAAGGCGUUGGUAACUUAAGACAGCAGGACGGUGGCCAUGGAAGUCGGAAUCCGCCAAGGAGUGUGUAACAACUCACCUGCCGAAGUUACUAGCCCUGAAAAUGGAUGGCGCUGAAGCGUCGUGCUUAUACUCUGCCGUCAGCGGCAUGUGAGACGGUCCUUAAGAGGUCGUCAUGAAGCCCUGACGAGUAGGAGGGUCGCGGCGGUGAGCGCAGAAGGACCAGGCGCGAGCCAGUCUGGAGCCGCCGUCGGUGCAGAUCUUGGUGGUAGUAGCAAAUACUCCAGCGAGGCCCUGGAGGACUGACGUGGAGAAGGGUUUCGUGUGAACAGCCGUUGCACACGAGUCAGUCGAUCCUAAGCCAUAGGCGAAAGCCGAUGUCGAUGCGGUGUAUCUUUCAGUGUCUCUUUAUAGGACGGAGAGAAUCACACCCGUCGGGCGAAAGGGAAUCCGGUUCCUAUUCCGGAACCCGGCAGCGGAACCGUUAUUAAGUCGUGCCCUCAUUCAGAGAGUUCGUCGGGGCAACCCAAAAGGACCUGGAGACGCCGUCGGGAGAUCCGGGAAGAGUUUUCUUUUCUGCAUAAGCGCUCGAGUUCCAUGGAAUCCUCUAGCAGGGAGAUAUGGUUUGGAGCGCGAAGAGCACCGCAGUUGCGGCGGUGUCCGGAUCUUCCCCUCGGACCUUGAAAAUCCAGGAGAGGGCCACGUGGAGGCGUCGCGCCGGUUCGUACCCAUAUCCGCAGCAGGUCUCCAAGGUGAAGAGCCUCUAGUCCGAUAGAAUA
rnacentral:rRNA from 1 species